UGUGGGAGCGGGCUUGCUCGCGAAAGCGGUGGUUCAGUCGAUAUCAAUGUUGACUGUCAGUCUGCAUUCGCGAGCAAGCCCGCUCCCACA
rnacentral:misc_RNA from 1 species